rnacentral:tRNA from 3 species
CACUAGAAAGCUAAACCAGGACUAGCGUUAGCCUUUUAAGCUAAAGACUGGUGACUCCUAACCACCUCUAGUGA